rnacentral:rRNA from 1 species
CCUACGGGUGGCAGCAGUGAGGAAUAUUGGUCAAUGGACGAGAGUCUGAACCAGCCAAGUAGCGUGAAGGAUGACUGCCCUAUGGGUUGUAAACUUCUUUUAUAAAGGAAUAAAACGCGGCACGUGUGCCUUUUUGCAUGUACUUUAUGAAUAAGGAUCGGCUAACUCCGUGCCAGCAGCCGCGGUAAUCCGGAGGCUCCGAGCGUUAUCCGGAUUUAUGGGGUUUAAAGGGUGCGUAGUUGGGAUGUGAAGUCAGGUGUGAAAGUUUGCGGCUCAACCGUAAAAUUGCAAUUGAUACUGGCAGUCUGGAGUGCAGUAGAGGUAUGCGGAAUUCGUGGUGUAGCGGUGAAAUGCUUAGAUAUCACGAAGAACCCCGAUUGCGAAGGCAGCUUACUAAACUGUGACUGACAUUGAGGAACGAAAGUGUGGGUAGCAAACAGGAUUAGAUACCCGGGUAGUC